rnacentral:rRNA from 1 species
GACGAACGCUGGCGGCGUGCUUAACACAUGCAAGUCGAACGAAGUGGCGAACGGGUGAGUAACGAGUAAUCAACCUGCCCUUCAGAGGGGGACAACAGUUGGAAACGACUGCUAAUACCGCAUACUGAAGGAGGGGCUUGCGGCUGAUUAGCUAGUUGGAUGGGUAACGGCCCACCAAGGCGAUGCUCCGUAGCGGGUCUGAGAGGGUUAACGGCCAAAUUGGGACUGAGAAACGGCCCAGACCCCUACGGGAGGCAGCAGUGGGGAAGCUUCCGCAAUGGACGAAAGUCUGACGGAGCAACGCCGCGUUAGUGAUGACGGCCUUCGGGUUGUAAAGCUCUGUUAAUCGGGACGCGGUACCGGAAUAGAAAGCCACGGCUAACUACGUGCCAGCAGCCGCGGUAAUAC